GGCUCAGGAUGAACGCUAGCUACAGCUUAACACAUGCAAGUCGAGGGGCAGCAUUUCAGUUUGCUUGCAAACUGGAGAUGGCGACCGGCGCACGGGUGAGUAACACGUAUCCAACCUGCCGAUAACUCGGGGAUAGCCUUUCGAAAGAAAGAUUAAUACCCGAUGGUAUAAUCAGACCGCAUGGUCUUGUUAUUAAAGAAUUUCGGUUAUCGAUGGGGAUGCGUUCCAUUAGGCAGUUGGUGAGGUAACGGCUCACCAAACCUUCGAUGGAUAGGGGUUCUGAGAGGAAGGUCCCCCACAUUGGAACUGAGACACGGUCCAAACUCCUACGGGAGGCAGCAGUGAGGAAUAUUGGUCAAUGGGCGCAGGCCUGAACCAGCCAAGUAGCGUGAAGGAUGACUGCCCUAUGGGUUGUAAACUUCUUUUAUAUGGGAAUAAAGUUUUCCACGUGUGGAAUUUUGUAUGUACCAUAUGAAUAAGGAUCGGCUAACUCCGUGCCAGCAGCCGCGGUAAUACGGAGGAUCCGAGCGUUAUCCGGAUUUAUUGGGUUUAAAGGGAGCGUAGGUGGACAGUUAAGUCAGUUGUGAAAGUUUGCGGCUCAACCGUAAAAUUGCAGUUGAUACUGGCUGUCUUGAGUACAGUAGAGGUGGGCGGAAUUCGUGGUGUAGCGGUGAAAUGCUUAGAUAUCACGAAGAACUCCGAUUGCGAAGGCAGCUCACUGGACUGCAACUGACACUGAUGCUCGAAAGUGUGGGUAUCAAACAGGAUUAGAUACCCUGGUAGUCCACACAGUAAACGAUGAAUACUCGCUGUUUGCGAUAUACAGUAAGCGGCCAAGCGAAAGCAUUAAGUAUUCCACCUGGGGAGUACGCCGGCAACGGUGAAACUCAAAGGAAUUGACGGGGGCCCGCACAAGCGGAGGAACAUGUGGUUUAAUUCGAUGAUACGCGAGGAACCUUACCCGGGCUUAAAUUGCAUUUGAAUAUAUUGGAAACAGUAUAGUCGUAAGACAAAUGUGAGGGUGCUGCAUGGUUGUCGUCAGCUCGUGCCGUGAGGUGUCGGCUUAAGUGCCAUAACGAGCGCAACCCUUAUCUUUAGUUACUAACAGGUCAUGCUGAGGACUCUAGAGAGACUGCCGUCGUAAGAUGUGAGGAAGGUGGGGAUGACGUCAAAUCAGCACGGCCCUUACGUCCGGGGCUACACACGUGUUACAAUGGGGGGUACAGAAGGCAGCUACCUGGUGACAGGAUGCUAAUCCCAAAAGCCUCUCUCAGUUCGGAUCGAAGUCUGCAACCCGACUUCGUGAAGCUGGAUUCGCUAGUAAUCGCGCAUCAGCCAUGGCGCGGUGAAUACGUUCCCGGGCCUUGUACACACCGCCCGUCAAGCCAUGAAAGCCGGGGGUACCUGAAGUACGUAACCGCAAGGAGCGUCCUAGGGUAAAACUGGUAAU
rnacentral:rRNA from 1 species